CUGAAACACCGGUUCAAAGUUCGCUCACCGAAGUUAAGCAACGUCGAGCCUGAUCAGUACCUUGACGGGUGGCCUCUUGGGAAUAUCUGGAG